GACAAAGUUUGAAAAGGCUGUAU
rnacentral:rRNA from 1 species